UAGCCUAUAGUGGUUAAGGCUAUGGAUUGCCAAUCCGGAAACGGCGGGUUCGAUUCCCGU
rnacentral:tRNA from 1 species